rnacentral:rRNA from 1 species
UGAGGAAUAUUGGUCAAUGGACGCAAGUCUGAACCAGCCAAGUAGCGUGCAGGAUGACGGCCCUAUGGGUUGUAAACUGCUUUUAUAUGGGGAUAAAGUGGGGAACGUGUUCCCUUUUGCAGGUACCAUAUGAAUAAGGACCGGCUAAUUCCGUGCCAGCAGCCGCGGUAAUACGGAAGGUUCGGGCGUUAUCCGGAUUUAUUGGGUUUAAAGGGAGCGUAGGCCGUUUGGUAAGCGUGUUGUGAAAUGUAGGAGCUCAACUUCUAGAUUGCAGCGCGAACUGUCAGACUUAGUGCGCACAACGUAGGCGGAAUUCAUGGUGUAGCGGUGAAAUGCUUAGAUAUCAUGAAGAACUCCGAUUGCGAAGGCAGCUUACGGGAGCGCAACUGACGCUGAAGCUCGAAGGUGCGGGUAUCGAACAGG